rnacentral:lncRNA from 1 species
AGCUCUCUCUCUCGAGCUCCGAUUGCUGGCGCGAUGGUCGUCGCGGCUACGGGUGCUGCAGCGGCAUCACGGCUUCGAGCUGCUGGUGGUCACUGCGGCGUCAGCGAUGGAGCCGGUUGCAGCAGGUUGCUGCGGCGGCGUUGGAUUGUAGGUGGAGGCGGGCGAGCGACGGCACGGGCUGUAGCGAGGUGGCUCGGGGCGCGG